CUGCCACCACCCCCCUCCUGGCACAGGCGAACCCCUUUCUUGGGAGCGUUGUGGGUGAGGUUUUGCUCUGCACCGGUGAACAAACACCAGCGUAAUACAGGAUGACCUUCUCCAUGCAGGUUUUCCCCUCAGCACCGCCAGGGCUGCAGUAAGGCAGGUGCAUUAUAUGGGGCAAUCCAGCAGCCCCAUAUAAUGCGCUCUGCUCGAACCUCCGCCCGCGCGACACGCUGGGGAAUUUCAAGGGAAUCACUCCCUCAAAACCAGAGCCUUUACCUGUUUGAUCUGUGGCGUGAACGAACAUUUCCUUUCCCCAUGGAAAGGGGGGGGGACCGGCGCCCACAAGGAGCCUGGACAGGACCCGCCAGAGCUGAGGGUCCGGUGCCUCACGAGGCGGGAGCGCCGCCAUCACCGCGGCCUCAGCAGCGCCCCCAGUGCAGGGCCGGCCCCGCUCCUUCUCCUCCCCGCUCCUUCUCCUCUGUAAAUCCCUCCCGACGCUCCAAGGAAACAAGAGCUCAUCUUCCUCCAUAGUAUUCUCUUUUGAGUACCCCAGGUGCUUUGCUUCUUUAGGUGCGAUUUGUUGUUUCUCUUAAUUUUCUUUGGAGGUUUGGCUCUCUGAUUCAUUUGUAUGCCAUCGUUGCACACUGGCCAUAAAAAACCACUGCCAAGUGUUAUGAGGGAAAACAAAGCACAGCUGCAGCCUGGGACAGACAAUAAGGAAGGUGAACCAAGCAGGUGUGGGCUCCCACAAAUCGGGGCAGCUCUGGGAUAUGAGAUCACCAGCCUUUUGUGUGUGCCUUUGGAGAUGGGCAGGAAGAAUUUGUAUUCCCAGGACUGAGGAACAUCAAGAACUAAAGAAGCCAUUUCACAACGUGAGGUAGUCCAUGAGGAAGGGGAUGUAAAAAAUCAGCCAUCUGCAGGGAACAAACAAGAGCUUCUGGCUCUACGAUGACCCAGGGACUUGCAGUGAGGACAGAGGAUUGCCAGAAAUGUCAGGUGUUAGGACUCACAUCUACAGAAGUUCUGACCUGUGCAGCAAGGGAGUGAGUCCUCAGAAAUCUGAAAAUUAUAAUGGUGACAAGUGCUAGAUGUAGAUUUCCUACUGCAACCAGUAGCAGUUUGCAUGCAGAAAGAUUUCAGAAGCGGGCAUCCUUUCCUUUUCCUUCCCAAGUUUUAUUAAUUUGACCAAAGACUAUGUGGCUUCAGCCUUAACAAAAACCAAUAAAAUUCUGGGAUGAUUUAGGCUGGAACAACCUCUGAGUGACUUGACUAAUCCAAAUCAUUCCAUUUCAAUCCAAAUUGAUUUCAUUACCCUUAAGUCAUUUAUUUAAAUAAAUGGAGUCAGAAGA